CUCAAUGGAUUUUUCAGGAACCGUAGACGUUAUGAAAAUAGUUGUCACGUGGGCUUUCUCAGCCGACCCUUGAGACUUGACACCUAGGCUCCCCAAAUUGGGAGCCUCCUGGUCCACACUCCCAGUUCAAAUUUUUGCCUGUAAAGCCCAAUCUUUGUGAUUUCUGCAGGUAUUUACAGAAACAUGAUGGACAACCAAGCAAAUGUCAUCUGGUUGCAUUGUAAACAUAAAAUUAUGCCAAUUAUGUGACUAGAUUAGUCUUUUGAGGAGAAAAUGUGGUACAAAAUUAGCCUAAAAAGGCCAAAAUUGGCCAGCUUCAAAGACAAUUUUCAAGUAACCAAGCAUUCUCUUAUAUCAAAGUUCAACCAUUUUUCUCUCUGUUUCAAUGGUUUUUAUCAUGGUUCCAAACUCAGUGUUGGUGUGGGAAUGAUUAAAAGAAAUUCUACUUUGGGAGCGUCCACACUCCCACUUUCACCACUGAUUGUCACUUCAAUACGGAUUAAUCAUGUUAAUACUAAAAUUACUUUAAUUUACUAUUCAGGUUCACUUCGAGUCACAGCUGAUUUCUUUGAAAACAAGAAAUCAGAAGUUUGCAGUUACAUUAAGAGGUGGGGACAAGGACGUGGUGAGAGACAACUGGUUUGUUACCAAGUAUACCUACCAUGAAGUCAAGGCUGGAUUUGGGUCAGAUUUUGUGUCUGCUGAAAUGUAUGGGCACAUACUUCAGUGGCUGGGGCAAUCCUUGACACGCCGUCUAGUGAGAGAUAAACGUCGCCCUUACACUAAGCCAGUGACUCAGAUCUUUACUGUGCCGGAACUUCCAAUGGAGUACACACAGGCUGCAUGGCACUGCAUAGGUAUGUGGCCAUUAAGGAAGUAAUCAUAUUCCUUGCUGAGAAACUGACAGGGAGAACCUACUCUUCAAUCAACCCAGAGUGUCAAAGGACAGAAUUGCAAUCAAAAGAGCUUUAAUUGCAUAAUUAUGAUGCUCCUUUGAAAGGGUUACUGUUUUAAUGAAUGCAGCCAACUCAUUGAUGCCUUGAUGUGGUUUGGUUGUUCUCUGUACCUUUCUUUCAUUCACAUAUGGACCCGUGAAGAUUCCAGGGUAGAAUAGGUCUUCAGCAACCAUCCUUGCCGUAAAAGGCGACUAUGCUUGUUGUAAAAGGCGACU